GGGGAUUUAGCUCAGCGUUGUAAGCACCUGCCUUGCAAGCAGGCGGUUGUGAGUUCAAUCCCCG
rnacentral:tRNA from 1 species